rnacentral:lncRNA from 1 species
GAGCCACAACGCUGGGCCACAUGUCAUCUCUUAAUGAUACACUAUCUAAUCAAUGGAACAGACUCUUCUUUUCUAUAUUUGGUGAAAAAAAUCAAGAUUCCAAGAGCUUAAGUCAGAUCCCCUGACACCUCUGCCAAUGCUCAUCCCACUCCAUGGUGUGGCCUCAGGGAUCCCAUCUCACAGACUAGACAAAUGGAGCCCAAGGCCAGAGCAAAACCAGCCGGAGACUGUCACCGUCCAAGGUAUCACCCAGGGUUUCUCAAUAGCACAGCUUGUCUUAGUGGCCACCUGCACUCUUCUCCUAAAUCAGUGCUUGUGUGGAAACUUUAGGACCAUGUGGGUCCCCUUCUCUCAGCUCCACACUGGGGUCCUUGAGAAGCAGAGGGCUGGCUGGAGGAUAGGAAGGGUUGUCCCCUCCCCUCCCAGCAGAAAACCUCUGGGAUGACACCUUCACUCUGAGAGGCAGCGGGAUGACACGGAUAGAAUCGCUGGGCAAGUCAGUUCUUUCCCUCCUCCCUUUUCCUGCUAGAAGUCCACUUCUUCAUCGAGAAAUGUCUCCUCCGUUCCUUCCCCCCUCUAUUUUGGGGGCCCCGGGGUCUAGCUCCCCAUCCCUGUGUGUCGCUCCGGCUGGAUCCCCAUCCUCCCAGCCCCUCGGCCAAGUGGAGGAUGCUGAUCUGACUGCCUCCUGCCAGACACCUAGGGCCUCCUGCUCCCAGAGGGUCUUGGCCAAGGGGCUCUGGCGCUGGGCCGGUGCCUUUCUCACUGCCCGGCUCCCUCCUCACAGGCCCCUAAUCCAUCUCACCCAGCAGGAAGCCCUUAAGCUGCCUUUUCAGCCGCCUUCCCCAGCCCGCUGUGGGCUCUGUGCCUUUCUAUACCACCCUUGGCAGGAGCUGUGUUAUACAAGCUGGAGAGAGAGGCCCCUGCAAAGAGGUCAUCGUGCCUAAGGCGGCUUCCAGCUCCAGCAGCCUCUCCUCCCUGGUCCCCUCCCCAGGGUUCCCCCACUGGUACACUGCCUGGCAUCCCUGGGCACUGACAGCCCUGGCUGACUCACAUCAAAGCCCCAGACUGGGUCCAGGUUGAGAUUUCUGCUCCUGCCAAGCCCA